AUGCAUAGGAGAAAAUGGCCAGGCAAUCCCAGUUGCUCUUUUUGCAAGGAUGUUGAGAUCUCUCAGCAUCUGUUCUUUACUUACACCGUUGCUAAGUGUGUUUGGCGCUCCAUUGGGGUAACGUUGGGGACUAAUAGUUGCCCCAACAAUUACUGGCAGUUCUUCGCUUUGUGUUAUACUUUUCUCCCUGGUGGUGACAAGUUCUAUACGGUGGGCCUUGCGGCUGCUUGUUGGGCAAUUUGGCUUGCUCGUAACCGUGCAACUUUUGAGAAGAAGCUGAUCAAAACACCUUUUGAGAUAGUUUUCUCCAUGUGUUCGUUCUUACUCUACUGGACAGGGCUGCAGCAGGGGGAGACGCUGAGGAGCUGCGCGCGGGAGCUGAUGCUGUCAGGGCUUACAUGA
rnacentral:rRNA from 1 species